GGCGACGUAGCCAAGUGGUCUAAGGCGGAGGUCUGCAAAACCUCUAUUCGCCGGUUCGAAUCCGGCCGUCGCCUCCA
rnacentral:tRNA from 2 species